AUGGAGGGGACAUUACUGUGCAGAAAUCUCUUCUCCAGGACAUUACUGUGCAGAAAUCUCCAGGACAUUACUGUGCAGAAAUCUCUUCUCCAGGUCAUUACUGUGCAGAAAUCUCCAGGUCAUUACUGUACAGAAAUCUCUUCUCCAGGUCAUUACCAUACAGAAAUCUCUUCUCCAGGACAUUACUGUGCAGAAAUCUCCAGGACAUUACUGUGCAGAAAUCUCUUCUCCAGGUCAUUAUCAUACAGAAAUCUCUUCUCCAGGACAUUACUGUGCAGAAAUCUCCAGGACAUUACUGUGCAGAAAUCUCUUCUCCAGGUCAUUAUCAUACAGAAAUCUCUUCUCCAGGACAUUACUGUGCAGAAAUCUCCAGGACAUUACUGUGCAGAAAUCUCUUCUCCAGGUCAUUAUCAUACAGAAAUCUCUUCUCCAGGACAUUACUGUGCAGAAAUCUCCAGGACAUUACUGUGCAGAAAUCUCUUCUCCAGGUCAUUAUCAUACAGAAAUCUCUUCUCCAGGACAUUACUGUGCAGAAAUCUCCAGGACAUUACUGUGCAGAAAUCUCUUCUCCAGGUCAUUAUCAUACAGAAAUCUCUUCUCCAGGACAUUACUGUGCAGAAAUCUCCAGGACAUUACUGUGCAGAAAUCUCUUCUCCAGGUCAUUAUCAUACAGAAAUCUCUUCUCCAGGACAUUACUGUGCAGAAAUCUCUUCUCCAGGACAUUACUGUGCAGAAAUCUCUUCUCCAGGACAUUACUGUGCAGAAAUCUCUUCUCCAGGACAUUACUGUGCAGAAAUCUCUUCUCCAGGACAUUACUGUGCAGAAAUCUCUUCUCCAGGACAUUACUGUGCAGAAAUCUCUUCUCCAGGACAUUACUGUGCAGAAAUCUCUUCUCCAGGACAUUACUGUGCAGAAAUCUCUUCUCCAGGACAUUACCAUACAGAAAUCUCUUCUCCAGGUCAUUACUGUGCAGAAAUCUCUUCUCCAGGAGCAGGUGAGCACUGCUGCUGCUGCUCCCCAUGCCCAGGACAUGCCCUGUGCUGCAGGACUGAGCUGUGCCAGGCAGGAAAACUUAGGAGGAUUUUCUCAGGGAUAAGAAAUUAUGUCUCAUGUUGUAACUUUUUGACAACUGUCUCAGUUGCAAGAUUAAUGAUAUCAGUAAUAAAAGAGGUUUUCCUCCACCUAAUCUUUUCAUUUCCCAUUUUAAUUCAAACCUGACCAACAAACUGCCUCCUUAUUCCAGCAGAGAUGAUUUAAAUCACUGGCUUUGCUAAUUACCAUGAUCUCCUUUAAAAGCAUUUCAGGAAUUCCUGACGAAAUUCCAAUUCCUGUUCUGAAAACCUGCUCUGAAAGCAAAUAAAACUUUGAACUGAGACGCCACUGACCUACUUUAGCUUUGAAUUCCAAUCACUCUGGGAGCUGGCUCCAAAGUGCAGCAACCCUGUGACCCCAGGCUUGCUCUGCAGCCCCUGCCCAGCUCCAGCUGUGGGCACAGCUGGGCCUGUGCUGCCAUGGAGGGACAGCUGUGCCCAGCACAGAGCUCAGGACCUGCUCCACCCCCAGCCCAGCGCUGCAGCAGAGCACUCAUCCCAAAUCCCUUCAACACCGCUUGUAAGCAAAGCAAAGGCUCAGGAUUUGCCCUGAAAUCUGGUUUUCCUUUUCCCCCAGUUCCUUUCCCCACCCCAUGAAGUUCCCCGUGCCCUGACCCACAAGGGGACAGCACAGAAUCCCCCAGUACCCCCAGUAUGCCCCUGGAGCAGGAGGGGCUGGGGACAGGGACACAGGGCAGAGCUGGCAGGGCACAGGCUGGCACUGUGCCUGCUUCCCACCAGCACCGUGAUAAAAUUAUCCUUGCAGGGGAACAAUGUUAUUUUUGUCACGUCCCCAUUUUCUAAACAGGAAAAUAUUCCAUUAGGAAAGCGUCCAGCUCCCCUCUGAAAGGUUUUGGCUUUUCCAGGUGGUGGAAAGGAGGGGUCUCUGAACCCCUGGUGCCAGCCAGCAAACCCUCCACAGCCUCCCCCUGCAGCAUCCAGGGCAGAAGUUUAAAUUAAUGGGGCAUUUUGGGGCCCCUUUAAGGCACAGAUUGUCCCUGUGUGUGACAUGGACACGCUCUCCCCAAAAUGCUGUGCCUGCAGCAAGGCUGUGCAUGAGCUUUGAGCUGCCCAGGUGAAGCAGAAGCUGCUCCCACCUUUGCUGCCCUCCCAGGCUGGGCUGAGGGGUGGGCACAGCCCCUGGGGCUCACACUGCUCACAGACAGAGCCCAGCAGUGCCCACGUGGGAGGAGGCAGCAGCUCUGUGCAGCCCGGUGCAGCUCUGGGCAGCUCUGUACAGCUCUGUACACCUCUGGUGCAGCUCUGUGCAGCACUGGUGCAGCUCUGUGCAGCCCGGUGCAGCUCUGUGCAGCUCUGUACAGCACUAGUGCAGCUCUGGUGCAGCUCUGUACAGCUCUGGCAGGUGAGCACUGCUGCUGCUGCUCCCCAUGCCCAGGACAUGCCCUGUGCUGCAGGACUGAGCUGUGCCAGGCAGGAAAACUUAGGAGGAUUUUCUCAGGGAUAAGAAAUUAUGUCUCAUGUUGUAACUUUUUGACAACUGUCUCAGUUGCAAGAUUAAUGAUAUCAGUAAUAAAAGAGGUUUUCCUCCACCUAAUCUUUUCAUUUCCCAUUUUAAUUCAAACCUGACCAACAAACUGCCUCCUUAUUCCAGCAGAGAUGAUUUAAAUCACUGGCUUUGCUAAUUACCAUGAUCUCCUUUAAAAGCAUUUCAGGAAUUCCUGACGAAAUUCCAAUUCCUGUUCUGAAAACCUGCUCUGAAAGCAAAUAAAACUUUGAACUGAGACGCCACUGACCUACUUUAGCUUUGAAUUCCAAUCACUCUGGGAGCUGGCUCCAAAGUGCAGCAACCCUGUGACCCCAGGCUCGCUCUGCAGCCCCUGCCCAGCUCCAGCUGUGGGCACAGCUGGGCCUGUGCUGCCAUGGAGGGACAGCUGUGCCCAGCACAGAGCUCAGGACCUGCUCCACCCCCAGCCCAGCGCUGCAGCAGAGCACUCAUCCCAAAUCCCUUCAACACCGCUUGUAAGCAAAGCAAAGGCUCAGGAUUUGCCCUGAAAUCUGGUUUUCCUUUUCCCCCAGUUCCUUUCCCCACCCCAUGAAGUUCCCCGUGCCCUGACCCACAAGGGGACAGCACAGAAUCCCCCAGUACCCCCAGUAUGCCCCUGGAGCAGGAGGGGCUGGGGACAGGGACACAGGGCAGAGCUGGCAGGGCACAGGCUGGCACUGUGCCUGCUUCCCACCAGCACCGUGAUAAAAUUAUCCUUGCAGGGGAACAAUGUUAUUUUUGUCACGUCCCCAUUUUCUAAACAGGAAAAUAUUCCAUUAGGAAAGCGUCCAGCUCCCCUCUGAAAGGUUUUGGCUUUUCCAGGUGGUGGAAAGGAGGGGUCUCUGAACCCCUGGUGCCAGCCAGCAAACCCUCCACAGCCUCCCCCUGCAGCAUCCAGGGCAGAAGUUUAAAUUAAUGGGGCAUUUUGGGGCCCCUUUAAGGCACAGAUUGUCCCUGUGUGUGACAUGGACACGCUCUCCCCAAAAUGCUGUGCCUGCAGCAAGGCUGUGCAUGAGCUUUGAGCUGCCCAGGUGAAGCAGAAGCUGCUCCCACCUUUGCUGCCCUCCCAGGCUGGGCUGAGGGGUGGGCACAGCCCCUGGGGCUCACACUGCUCACAGACAGAGCCCAGCAGUGCCCACGUGGGGAGGAGGCAGCAGCUCUGUGCAGCCCGGUGCAGCUCUGUGCAGCUCUGUACAGCACUGGUGCAGCUCUGGUGCAGCUCUGUACAGCUCUGUGCAGCACUGGUACAGCUCUGUGCAGCUCUGUACAGCUCUGUACAGCUCUGUGCAGCACUGGUGCAGCUCUGUGCAGCACUGGUACAGCUCUGUACAGCUCUGGUGCAGCUCUGUACAGCUCUGUGCAGCACUGGUGCAGCUCUGUGCAGCUCUGUGCAGCACUAGUGCAGCUCUGUGCAGCUCUGUGCAGCACUGGUGCAGUUCUGGUACAGCUCUGUGCAGCUCUGGUGCAGCUCUGUACAGCUCUGUGCAGCACUGGUACAGCUCUGUGUAGCACUGGUGCAGCUCUGUGCAGCUCUGUGCAGCUCUGGUGCAGCUCUGUGCAGCUCUGUACAGCACUGGUGCAGCUCUGGUGCAGCUCUGUAGAUAGCACUGGUGCAGCUCUGGUGCAGCUCUGUGCAGCUCUGUACAGCUCUAUACAGUUUUGUGCAGCCCUGUACAGCACUGGUGCAGCUCUGUGCAGCUCUGGUGCAGCACUGGUAUAGGUCUGGUGCCGCUCUGUGCAGCCCGGUGCAGCUCUGUGCAGCUCUGUACAACUCUGGUGCAGCUCUGUGCAGCUCUGUGCAGCACUAGUGCAGCUCUGUGCAGCUCUGUGCAGCACUGGUGCAGUUCUGGUACAGCUCUGUGCAGCUCUGGUGCAGCUCUGUACAGCUCUGUGCUGCUCUGUGCAGCUCUGGUGCAGCUCUGGUACAGCUCUGUACAGCUCUGGUACAGCUCUGUACAGAUCUGUGCAGCACUGGUGCAGCUCUGUGCAGCUCUGUGCAGCUCAGGGCAGGGCUGUGCCACGUUCAAGGACCCCGGGGCUGAGGCUGGCUCAGUGUUUUGUCCCAAAAUCCCUUCCACAGACCAGGCCAAUGCUGGGCCCUGUGGCUGUGCCUCUGUGCCCUGUCCAGGUCAGCGCAGUGACCAGGUCACCACGGCCCGGCCACGUGGCCAGAGCUCUGCACCCUGUGUCCAUCACGGCCUGGGGGAGGCUCCUCUGGGCUAAAGGAACCAAACCUGCAUUAUUUCAUCCUUUGCAACAGGACAGACCUUUGACGUGCCUUGCUGGGCUUUAGGCUUUCCUUUUUCCAUCCUUGCUCCCUCGGGUGUUUCAGGGUGACACCACCCACAGCAGCUCGUGCCCGAGUGGAUCAGAUGUCCUGGAAGUGUCCUGGUGCUUCCUAUGGGGGUGUUCUGGCAGGAGGGGCAGCUCCCUUUCCCUCCCAGCCCCUUUCAGGGCAGUUCUCCUCCCCGAGCUCCUGCACGCACCCGCGGCGUGGCCAGCGCCUGCCGAGCCCCUGCCCUGGGCCACUGAAACCGGAGCUGGGGCACCUGGAGCCCUCCCCGGGGCUGGCAGCUCUCCCGCAGCUGCCAUUCCCCAGAGCAUGGCCAAGGUUAUCCCCGUGCAGAGCCAGGAGCAGCAGGGCUGCACCUCAGCCUCCUCCAGAGCCGCUCCAAGCAGAUCUCCCUGGGCUGGGGAUCAUCAUGGCAGAUCUCCCUGGGCUGGGGAUCAUCAUAAUCAUCAUCAUCAUCAUCAUCAUCAUCAUCAUCAUCACCAUCAUCAUCAUCACCAUCAUCCCCUGGCUGCCAAACAUCCCAGCCUCCCCUCCCUGCAGGAUUUAGGUUAAGCCACGGCUGCUGACGUGGCUUUGGAAGUUCAGGCAGAGCUCUUCCCCCCGAUGACGUUAAGCUCGUGCAGUUCCCCCAGCCACAAAGCCUGGUUCAAUCAAAGUUGUGAUUAAACCUGACAAUAUCCUUGUGCAGACUCUCCUAAAUAAGAUUUAGAACAGCUAAAAUUAGUGUAAUUUGGUGUUAAUCAUUAAUCGUUUUAUCCACACUUAAUUCAAUUCAAAUGUCCACACAACGAGCUUGCAUAGACUUUGUUGCUGAAAUACAAACCAAAAUUGAAUUAAAUGUUGUUAAAUUAGAUCAACACAAUCUGAGUGCUGCUAUGAGAAGUGUUUGCCGGAGAUGGUUAUCAGCUGAUUGGUUAAUGCUCAAAAUUAUCCUGAGCUGUGUUAGCCAGAAGCUCCAGCUCUCAGUACUUUGGGAAGGCAUGGACAUCUCCAUCAGUAUUUAGUGGACAAAAAUGCCCUUGCCAGCCCUCAG
ensembl:lncRNA